CUCCAAUGUUAUUUCUUCGGGAUAUACAUGAAAUCAUAUCACAGGAAAAGUUUAAAAAGUAAUAAUAACAAUGCCAUCUGAACAUGAAAAUGAAAUACUAACAGGGAGUUAAUAAUAAUACAAGCAUGCAAAUGCAUAAUGAGUGAGUCUGUACAGGUUUGAUAAAUACAGGACCAACAAAUAAACGAUUCACAGUGACUGUUAGUUGUAUUAUCUGCAUGUAAAUGUACAAAAACACAUACCAAAAUACCAACUUUGCCCAUAGCAAAUAAUUACCAUAACGAACAAACAGCAAUGCACCAUUUAACCAUCACCCCUCUCCUAUAUUUGAUAAUUUUUAUUUUAUUUUAUUUUCUGCAGGGUGAAUUACUAGCUCCUAUACAUCCUUUCUGCAGUCAAUGCUUCAGAUUUGCAUAUGGGGCAGACAUUCUUCACGUGCAACCACUUCUUCAAGCAAUCUGCAUGGUACUCGUGUCCACAAUCAAGAGUUCCAAUCUUCUCUUGAUGUUUGUAAUCAUCCUGGCAUAUAAUGCAAGAAUCAGAUUCUUGAUCCAAACAAGCCGUCUCUUCCAGAUUGAUUGACAUUGGUGAUGAUAAAUAUGUUCGUGUCUUUAAUUGACUUCUGAUUGUUUCCUCUGAUAAUCCAGUGUUCACAUUGCCAAUCCUCUCCCCAAGUGCAAGAAGCUCCUCAUAAGACAUAUCCUCUAUAUCCAAGCGCAUAUCACUGUGAUGGUCAACAUAAUUCUCUACCUCAUAAUAAUCCGGUAACUCCAGUACAGCUACCCCCUGCACACAUCAAUUCCUAUGUCUUAGUCUCUUCAAUAAAUAGAAGAAACAUUGUCAAUCAAAGUAUAGCAUAUAAAUCACCUUAGAUAACAAUAACAUUUUAUCAAAAUUCAAAAAACAACCACUUCUAGUGAGGAUUUGUUUGAAAUUAAAGUUCAGAGGUAAAGGCAAAACAUUACAUCAGUUGGCAAAACUCUAAGAUGAGGAACAUUGCGGUGUCUUAUAGCUGUCUCAGAUAUAACUCCCUCAUGGUGAGGUCUGUAUAUCCUAAGGCCAGUUGGCUGGAUAGAUCCCAGAUGCCUAACUCCAAUAUCCAUACCAUCCUGAGAUGGAUUCACAUUGCUCUGUGAGGCAUAGCUUGUAGGACCUCUAAAUGAAGUAGCUGAUACUUGAGGAAGAACAUUAAGAUUGUGGCCUCUCAUUCCUUGAAUGGGAAGUGACAGGUGAUGAAAAUUGUGCUGCCGUAGGUUGGCAGGAGAGGGAUGCAAGAAACUUGUGUUACUUCUGUUGCCAGAUAGGUCAUGAUAACGUUGUGGACCCAUGCUUCCAGUGUCAACCCUACUGAAAUUGUUCCCAUGCACAUAAGUGAUUGCUGGGUUCUGGGUCCAUGCUGAAGUUCCUGCAUCACUUGAAGUAUUGCUUAGCUGUUGAUCUAACCAUAGAGAACCAGAAGGCUGAAAGGGCUGACUCAUAUAGUUUCCCUGAAUAAAGUGAUUUUGAUUGUGUGCCAGAACAGGAUCCAGCCCAGUAGCACCUAAUCUGUUCCUCACACUUCUAUGAGAUCCCAAUUCCCUGACUGAUGAAGUACUAUUCCCUCUGUACUGAGGUGGCGUGAAAGAUGCAGCAUCCAUUAAAGCAACCCCAUCAGGAUGUCUAAUAUUUAAGGAUGUAGCUGAAGAACUGGAGCUUGCUGAGGCAUUGAAAUACUGAAAAUUCCCAGGGCUGCCUUCUGCAUUCUUUCUCUUGUAUGAACCUCUGGCAUUAUCCAUGAAGUGGCUGUUUGUUCCAUACUCAUCAGCAGAAACUCCAAUGACUCCAUAAUUGGUGGAAGAUGGUAAACGGUCACAAGACCCAUGACUUAAAGGAAUACUAGAAGAUGGGGUCAUGUAAGGAACAUAGAAAUUGGAUGCAGUAGCAACACCUAAAUCAAGAUUUGGCACAUGAUGCUGAGGAUGAUGUUGAACACCAGGGUAUUGUGGCAUCCCGUAAAAAAUAGCAUUGUCAUAAUGCUCUGGUAGAUGGCGGGAAUCAACAUUAGUUGUAUUCCCUGAAGCUGUAGCCACUGUCUGAAUAUCAGGCUGUGGGAAGUUAGUUAUGCCCCCCAAGAGAAUGCAGGGCUCAGGAUGAAGAUAACCCUGGCCUUGCUGAUCCAUUUCUAGAUCUAUCUGACUAGUGCACAGCAUGUUCCUUUGUCCCAUACCUAAAGUUAUCCCUUGUGAACAUUAAACAAAGUCAGAGAUGGAGUUUCACCGAUGAAUAAAUUGUGAAAAAAUACCUAAAUUGAGGAACUCUAAUAGAUCUCUCACAGAAAUUCUGAGAGAGAGACAGAGACAGGAAGGAAGGAAGGAAGGAAGGAAGGAGGGGACUCGCUCAGAUUUCCUCUUUCUAAUUAUUUUAUACGCAAAUGCGAU
rnacentral:misc_RNA from 1 species